UUGGGUGUACACCCGCACGCGUAAUGAAAGUGAACGUAGGUGAGAGCUUCGGCGCAUCAUCGACCGAUCCUGAUGUAUUCGGAUGGAUUUGAGUAAGAGCGUAAAGCCUCGGACCCGAAAGAUGGUGAACUAUGCCUGAAUAGGGUGAAGCCAGAGGAAACUCUGGUGGAGGCUCGCAGCGGUUCUGACGUGCAAAUCGAUCGUCAAAUUUGGGCAUGGGGGCGAAAGACUAAUCGAACCAUCUAGUAGCUGGUUACCGCCGAAGUUUCCCUCAGGAUAGCAGUGUUGUUCUUCAGUUUUAUGAGGUAAAGCGAAUGAUUAGGGACUCGGGGGCGCUAUAUAGCCUUCAUCCAUUCUCAAACUUUAAAUAUGUAAGAAGCCCUUGUUACUUAAUUGAACGUGGGCAUUCGAAUGUACCAACACUAGUGGGCCAUUUUUGGUAAGCAGAACUGGCGAUGCGGGAUGAACCGAACGCGGGGUUAAGGUGCCAGAGUGGACGCUCAUCAGACACCACAAAAGGCGUUAGUACAUCUUGACAGCAGGACGGUGGCCAUGGAAGUCGGAAUCCGCUAAGGACUGUGUAACAACUCACCUGCCGAAUGUACUAGCCCUGAAAAUGGAUGGCGCUCAAGCGUCCCACCCAUACCCCGCCGUCAGGGUAGAAACGAUGCCCUGACGAGUAGGCGGCCGUGGGGGUCAGUGACGAAGCCUAGGGCGUGAGCCC
rnacentral:rRNA from 1 species